rnacentral:rRNA from 1 species
UACGAAGGGGGCUAGCGUUGCUCGGAAUCACUGGGCGUAAAGGGUGCGUAGGCGGGUCUUUAAGUCAGGGGUGAAAUCCUGGAGCUCAACUCCAGAACUGCCUUUGAUACUGAAGAUCUUGAGUUCGGGAGAGGUGAGUGGAACUGCGAGUGUAGAGGUGAAAUUCGUAGAUAUUCGCAAGAACACAAGUGGCGAAGGCGGCUCACUGGCCGAUACUGACGCUGAGACGCGAAAGCGUGGGGAGCGAACAGG